rnacentral:misc_RNA from 1 species
GCAAAUAACCAUUAUUCUCACAAUGAAUACCACAUCCAAAAACCUUGUCGGUUUCUAAAGGUUAUCUGUGUAAUAUACAAACAACGAAAUGGAACCACCUUUCAAGUUGGCACAUUAUAACAUGACAUUUCUCCGAUCAAAAAUUAAGGCUAUCUAACGUCACCAUGUAAACUAUAUAGCAAUCAAUGCAUGCGUAAAGCAAUACAAAAUGCUAAGUCUAGAGCAACCUGCAGUCCCU